GGUUAAAAACUGAGGGGAUGAGCUGUGGAUAGGGGUGAAAGGCCAAUCAAACUUCGUGAUAGCUGGUUCUCUCCGAAAUGCAUUUAGGUGCAGCGUCACGUGUUUCUUGCCGGAGGUAGAGCUACUGGAUGGCCGAUGGGCCCUACAAGGUUACUGACGUCAGCCAAACUCCGAAUGCCGGUAAGUGAGAGCGCAGCAGUGAGACCGUGGGGGAUAAGCUUCAUGGUCGAGAGGGAAACAGCCCAGAACACCGACUAA
rnacentral:rRNA from 1 species